UGCCUUGGGCUACACACACGCUACAAUGGGUGGUACAAUGGGUGGCAAUAGAGCGAUCUGGAGCUAAUCCCAAAAAGCCAUCCUCAGUUCAGAUUGUAGGCUGAAAUCCGCCUGCAUGAAGGAGGAGUUGCUAGUAACCGCAGGUCAGCAUACUGCGGUGAAUACGUUCUCGGGCCUU
rnacentral:rRNA from 1 species